GCGAAACAAAGCAAUCAUGGCGGAGCAGGCACACCGGGCUGCGCGCCCCGAGGACUCGGCGACCGCCCCGCGCCCUGGCCGACACAUGAGACUAUUGCCCUCCUGAAAACAUCCAACUGCUCUUCCAGAAUGGGAUAGUAAGAUUUUCAGUCCACUCUGCUAAGUGUUGGGGUGAGCAGAGC